rnacentral:rRNA from 1 species
GUAACUGCGAGUGAAGCGGGAAAAGCUCAAAUUUAAAAUCUGACGGUCUUUGGCCGUCCGAGUUGUAGUCUGGAGAAGUGCUUUCCGCGCUGGACCGUGUACAAGUCUCUUGGAACAGAGCGUCAUAGAGGGUGAGAAUCCCGUCUUUGACACGGACUACCAGUGCUUUGUGAUGCGCUCUCAAAGAGUCGAGUUGUUUGGGAAUGCAGCUCAAAAUGGGUGGUAAAUUCCAUCUAAAGCUAAAUAUUGGCGAGAGACCGAUAGCGAACAAGUACCGUGAGGGAAAGAUGAAAAGCACUUUGGAAAGAGAGUUAAACAGUACGUGAAAUUGCUGAAAGGGAAACGCUUGAAGUCAGUCGCGUUGGCCAGGACUCAGCCUUGCUUUUGCUUGGUGCAUUUUCUGGUUGACGGGCCAGCAUCGAUUUUGAUUGCCGGAAAAAGGCUGGAGGAAUGUGGCACCUUCGGGUGUGUUAUAGCCUUCAGUCACAUACGGCGGUUGGGAUCGAGGACCGCAGCACGCCUUUAUUGGCCGGGGUUCGCCCACGUUCGUGCUUAGGAUGCUGGCGUAAUGGCUUUAAACGACCCGUCUUGAAACACGGACCAAGGAGUCUAACAUGCCUGCGAGUGUUUGGGUGGUAAACCCGAGCGCGUAAUGAAAGUGAAAGUUGAGAUCCUUGUCAUGGGGAGCAUCGACGCCCGGACCUGAACUUCGGUGAUGGCUCUGCGGUAGAGCAUGUAUGUUGGGACCCGAAAGAUGGUGAACUAUGCCUGAAUAGGGUGAAGCCAGAGGAAACUCUGGUGGAGGCUCGUAGCGAUUCUGACGUGCAAAUCGAUCGUCAAAUUUGGGUAUAGGGCCGAAAGACUAAUCGAACCAUCUAGUAGCUGGGUCCUGCAG